GGGACUGUAGCUCAGUUGGUAGAGUGCCUGCCUACCAUGCAUGAAGCCCUGAGUUCAAUCCCAGCACCA
rnacentral:tRNA from 1 species